UUAGUUUGUGCCGGUUAAGUUGGAUCUGGUUUGUGCUUUUCGAGUUUGGUUUCGUUAAUGCGUGUUCAUCCGAGAUUAGGGCUUCAUCGUUCCCUUCCUUCUUUACAGAACUCAAACCGCCGUUUUAUCAUUUCAUGAUCUGGAAAACUACCUCUUCUCUUCUCAUCUCUAAACCUCCCCUGACAUUAUCUCUUCACCUCCUCUGAGAUAUGAGCGGCUUGUGAGGAUGAUUGACCCUCAGAACCACCAUCAGUUUAUCAGAGAUGGCUUCCUCCGAUAUUGUUCUUGUGCCCAGACCAUUGGUUGUCGUCGCCUCCAUUUUUGGACUCGAAAAACAUCAAGAAGCAAGGUGAAUUCAUGGGAAUUAUUCUACUCCUCCUUUAUGAGAAGAAAUCGGAGAUACAUGGGUUCAUUCUUGUUGGUCGCGCCCCUUAUUACCAUCCGUCUUUGCGAGCAGGUUCAGUCGUGAGAUUCUCAGGAUAUGAAGUUGCAAGAUGUACAAAUAUGUAAAAGAUUACGGAACACCCUUUCGUGAUCCGGUUCAUCCCCCAAACCACCAUUGAUGAAGUAAUCGAGAAUGCUCUCGUCAUCGACCUAGAAAUUCAUGCUGCGGAAGUUUGACCUCUUCAAGCUCUCGCUAACACUAAUUUAGAACUCCCUGUUGUUGUUGGGCAAUUUCAAUCUGUCCAAAGUUUGGACCUCAAGGACGCUACAGUGAUGAGUCAAGUUGUUGUUCAUUUCGUGAUUGAACCGAGCAGUGUUUAGGGGUCUCUUCAACUGCGAUGUAUUAUGGUAUCAAAUAAGUGAAAUCUUACAAAAAUGUCAUUUUUGAAAAAGAUAUUACAAUU